UACGUAGGGUGCGAGCGUUAAUCGGAAUGACUGGGCGUAAAGAGCUCGUAGGCGGCCUGUUGCGUCCGCUGUGAAAGCCCGGGGCUUAACCCCGGGUCGGCAGUGGAUACGGGCAGGCUAGAGGUAGGUAGGGGAGAAUGGAAUUCCCGGUGUAGCGGUGAAAUGCGCAGAUAUCGGGAGGAACACCGGUGGCGAAGGCGGUUCUCUGGGCCUUACCUGACGCUGAGGAGCGAAAGCGUGGGGAGCGAACAGG
rnacentral:rRNA from 1 species